UGGAAAUGCAAUCUCAUCAACAAGCAACAACCUGCUGCUGCAAGUGCAAACAGAACUAGCUGAUAAAAGCGAGGGCUAACUCUUAUGUAUAAAUAAAAUUCACCAACAUUCUAUUUUAAGUGGCCAUGGUACAUCUAUAGCAAAAAUAAAAAAAAACACUAAAAAUCACGGUAUUUUGACAUCAUUGACAGACAUUACGAAGUAGCUAGCCCCUACUAAAACAUCAAUCAAAACUUAUGGAACCUAUGCCUCGAUGAAUUUCUUCAGAUUCUUAAGCCACAUCUUGUAUUCUCUGCUAUCCUUGUUGACCAUGUACUCAUGCAAGAAGUUGGUUGUGCUGGGCUUGAUACCCCUAAUCUCCAGAUACUUGUGGAAA
rnacentral:misc_RNA from 1 species